GAUAAUUAUAAUUUAAAUGUUAAGUGAAAAUCUCAAGACAAACGCGAUUUUCCUUAUUCAACUUCAUUAGCUGAAAAUGUAGUACAGGUUUGCGCCACCACUUUUUUUGAAGUGGGCGUUCUUUAGAGGAGUUGGAAAUUAUGUCAUUAAACAAUCAACGAAAUAAUUUGCAGGUGUGACGAUGGCUAACGACCACAACAACCUUUUUAACGCAUACACUCGCACACACACACAGAUUUCUUUAAAUGUGUUGUUAAAAAUUGGUUUUGCUAAUCUCAGUUCAAGUGAAAGCGGCUUCAACUUGUGACGAUGAAUUGGAGUUUAAACGACAUUGAAUUGAAGAAACUAUUCUCUUUCUGGUUAAAAAUGUCAGAAUUUCUGCUUUGUAAGAUUGAAUG